UCAAACUGCGGGAAAGCCCUGCCACGACUCUCGGGACCUCACCGCCCCAGCAAUGGAAGCGGGUGCCUGCGGCCAACGGCCGCGGGUACGGUAAAGCACCGAAGUCUAGGGGCGAUCCGCCGCCAAACCCUCCCCGCACCGGGAGGGCCCAGCUCACAGGCCAGACGGCGAUGGGCGCUCUCGCGCUUAAGAUAUGGUCGAGUGACUCGCCGAGAGGCGGGUGCAACUCAGGAACGUCCGUAGGUGAACCUGCGGAAGGAUCAUU
rnacentral:rRNA from 1 species